AAUAACCUAACAUCUAUAAAGUGCUUGCUUGUACAUGCUGAGAAGAAAACUGAUGGUGAACGAAAUGGCAAGGAAGACCGCGAAGGCCACAUCUGUAGAGCUGUGUAUGCAUGGGACCCAGCAUGACAGCAUGGGGACAGGAGGCAGCCAUGGUGGAAGGCGGGCACUAGAAUCCACAGGACAGAGAGAUGGAGACAGAGUGAAUAUAAGAUUCUGGGUAAUAUGUUUCUGGCUUUGUAAAAACCACUGUUACGGGGGGAAGCAGUAUUUAAAACAACAAUCUAGAAUGUGUCUCUUAUCAGUCUUGGCUAAAAUAAAGGCAAACAAGAAAAAGGAUUCCAAGGACAAACAGACAUGCAUGCACGCACACACACACCAUAAGCCUCUUCUUCACAGUUACCAUAUAUACGACAUAUGGGGCACACAGAUGACUAUAGCAUAUACUUUAUAUAGAGAGAAAUGGAAAUAUUAAAGUUAGUAGUCAUUUGCUUAACCCCAGGAUUUCAAAAAAUGUACUUAAGCAAUGAACCCUAUUUUACCACCUAACAACUAAAAAACUCUACAUGUUCUAGAAAAAGCUAGUUCAAAAUAAACAACCUUCCCUGAGGGAAUCUGUUGCUGCACAGCAGAGUAAAACCUUCUGCACUGGGCUCGGUGGUAAAGUGCCUGUCGUGUAAGCCCGACGAUUUGAGUUCAGAUCCCCAGCACCCAGGUAAAAGCUGGGAGUACCUGAGGUGGGGGGAUAGAGACAGUAAAUCCCUUUGCACCUGGGUGAGGCCCAGGCCCAGGGAGAACCCCAGUGUCAAAGUAUAAGGUGGAAAUUAACAGAGGAAGACAUCAGACAUUGACCUCUGGCCUCCAUGUUUUCACAUGUGAAUGCAUGCAUGCUUACAGACACACAAACCAGCACUCACACAUAUACCCUACACACACACACACACACACCCUGUUUGUUUUUGUUUUUUUUAAUGGCUGAUGGGGAUGGAUGCCAGGGAAGUGGUCUACUAUGAGUCUUUAGCCUCAGAAAGUAAACUUCAUUACAUUAAUUUCUGGAAACUGAGGAUCACAAAACCAUGCACUGAAUCCAAAGGAUCUCUAGAUGAUAACUUUAAUACAAAGCAUUGAAAUCUCAUUUAUUUGAUCUAACAAUACUGUGCCAUAGCCAAUACUUAUUUAAUAAAUUGUCUAACUUUAUGAAUGUACUCAUAAGAUAGGAUGUUUAGAAGCUGGCAAAUGACUUCGGGUAUAGGCACUUGGUGCCUGAUGACUUCAGUCCAAUCCCUGGUUCCCGAGGGGAAGGAGAGAGCUAACUGACUCCCCCACAAACUGUCCUCUGACUUCCAUACUCAUGUCACAGUAUCCAUGUCCCCACCUAUGUACAGAUACACACAAAUAAAUAAAAUAUAAUGAAGAUG
rnacentral:lncRNA from 1 species